CCUGUCAGCAGAAGCAAUCAAGGAGAAUCUGGACAACCACCUGUCAAAGACGCUGUAGAAGGGAUUCUUGCAUUGGGUGAAGAAUUUAAUCUGAUGUCCUCUAAGGUCCCUUUUAAUCCUAAAAUGUGAAAAGCCUGGCAAUUUUUUAAAAACUUUCUCUUAGAAUCCAUAUGAUUGUUCCUCAAAGUGACAGUUCUGGGGAAACUUUAAGAACAUCAAGGAGCCAGAAACAAUUUCCCAAUUGUUUUUUGAAAAUGAAGGCUGGUGAAGACAAAACCUCCUCCUAGCACAUGAACUUUUCCUAGCAGGAUGCCUGCCUCCUUUUCUGCAAGCUGCGGCUAAAAUCCCUCCUCUAGUAUUCACUGGGCUUUCCUUCCGCUGAGCUCAUUACUACAUAGUGCCUCACAAUUUAUUGUUUCAUCAUUCUCUGUUUUUUGGGUGUUAAUUUAAUGUUCUCCACUAGAAAGCAAGAGACUUAAGAACAAAAACACACCUGUCUUCUUUCCUUUUUCUCAGUGUUAAGCAAGUGACUGGAGCCCAAUUCCUGCUGCCGCCAAGGAGUCAGGCCUGCUGGCCCUCUCCCCUUUGCCUCUCCUCUUUUACUAUUACAAAGCUGGCCCUUCAAAGCACAGUGCUCUCUGCAAUACAGAAGCCCUCGCUAUCUCUACAGUGGAGAAAAUGUGCGCCACGGGAAAAGGUCAUAGCAUAGAACAAUCUGAAGAGCACUGGUCUGCAUCCCACUUAGAAACCUCCAACUCCAAAUGUCAAUUUUCCUCCUGAGACAGCAUUUCUGGGCUGCUGCCUCCCGCUCCAGAGAGAUGUGCUUCUGGGAAAGUCAACUACACUGUGCAAGAGGUCUGUGAAAUGUGUCGGCACUUCCAUAAAAUAGAUGUAACUGAGGAUCUUCAGUCGGGCCCUCUUCUCCUGCUUAUUCCUUGGCAAAGAAUUUCUAAGAUCCUCCUCUAGCACCCUGGGCACUCAGGAAGUAAAAGCCACCUUUUUCUAGCCACUAGGGAAGAACAAGGGCUGGUGUUUCCCAGUCUGUCCGGAGAGUGACUCUUUACCCAACACAUGGAAGCUACCUGGAUGCUGAGUGAAGAUAAAUAGUGCCGUCUCCUUGGGUCGUUUAAUUCCAAGCAAGGCCCAUAUUGAUUUUGCCUCUCCCUGUACUAACCUGUUCGGUGAUGUACAGCUGAGGACCAUCUGCAUAACGGAGGGUAUAAUACUCUGGGUUUGGCAACGACCACCUAUGCAAGAGAAAAACAGUAUAUCCCACUUGGCCACUCUCUUGUUCAGAAGCUGCUCAUAAGUAAUUUUCAAAAGAGUUGCUCAAGGGAUUGGGUGGCCUAUUUGGAAUACAGUGGAAACAAAGCUUUAGGUUGUCAUGUUGAAAAAAUCAUGGCCUCAGCCUUUUGUAAAGAUGAGCACCACAAUAGGAGGUGUGCAGAACUGAGGAGGGGUCUCAGAUCCUACCUCAAUAGGGCAAUGCUAGACUUUAAGGAAAAAAUUAAGAAGUAUAAACGUCUUAGGGGUAUGGUUGUCAACUGUACUUCCUUCCCAAGACAAUGAUUCCCAAGACCCCCAUGCUGAGGACCUGCCUAACUGGAGAUCCUUCCCAGAACUCCCCUCAAGGUGUAGGAGUGCUCUUUCAGUCGGAGCUGCCACUGUUGAAAACGAGGUCCAUUUCAACCUACCCAUCACAAACUUCCUUGAUAAUGGAUGCCAGGGGCCGUUUCUGAAAGAGAGAGAGAGAAAGCCUUCAACAGCAGCAACAUCCUACUCAUGCCAAGGUUCUGACAAGAGGCCUGCCAAGCAGGGUCAAGCUGGGGCAUGAGAAUGAACUUCUUUCCUAACAGCUUUUGUUGAAGAGGAAGCCUCUCCCAAGCCAUGGUGACCGACCUUCCCUAGGGUGGGCCAGGCCCAAAGCUUAGCCUUCCUGUUGCUCGUUCUUACUCUUGAUGCCGGUGGUCCCCAUCCCUCAAGAUGUCCUCUGCCAUGCACUCCCCAGGUGCCUUUCCUUGAACCACUGCUUCUCACUUCAGGAGCAUACCUGGUCGAUUUCAAGGAGCUGGGCGUUAGCACCUGGCCACUCAAUGGCCACUUUGACAAUGUCUGACGGUGGUGGCAUCGUUCCCAAUGGGCUCUAAUUCUGCGAGACAAAAACACAGACACGGCUGCCUGGGGAGAAAGAAUCAGAAAGGUGGAAAAAGAGUAUUUCUUCAUUUUUCACUCUUGUUACAUGUUUUGAAGAGUUUGAAGACAGACACUGCAUAAAGUAACACAUGAAACUACCUGGUUUGAAUUUUUCUAGAUCAUACCACAACUUCUGCUUAGGAUUUUGUCUCUUGAGAUUAAAUCAGCAAGAAGAAAUGGGACAAACUAUCUAUCAUCCAUAGAUCAGCCAGUAGCAAGAUAUGCCAAUGUGGCACUUCAGUUUAAGAGUCAAGAAGACUCAGUGGUAGAGGAAUGUAUUUACUGCAAAUUCCUGUCUUGAGACCUUGGGAGGAGAGAAGCAUAUGCUCCGAGACAGAUAAGAAUAGACAGCCUUUUCUUGGUUGAGUGGUUAGCUGGAGGAGCCAGGCUACUUCUUUCUGCAGUCAUCCUAGGAAGAUCCCAGCAUCAGCAGGGCCCAGCUACAUGCUCUCUUGCUUCCUCCCCACUCAUCGAUGCCACCCCUUUCCCCUCAAAGGACACAAUGCAAAGCCUCCUCUGUGUGGGACGACAUCAGAAAAUGGGGAAGAUAACUGGGACAGGAAAUGCUAUUUUCGUCCCUACUGCCAAGGGCAAGGGCGGCUGACAACUCAAGUGGAGAGAGGUAAGGAUAUCCUCACACAAGGGCCCCUCUUAUAAGGACAAGGCUUUGCAAGUACCUCUGACCCCCUCCCCCACUUCUCUCCAAAAUAAAGGAAAAUAAAUCAUCCUGAGCAAGUCUGGAAGAUGGGCCCAUGUGACUGGUAUCCUAGGCAACUCUGAUAGCUUACUGGUAUUCCAAGCAGUAACUAAAGCAUUCUCUCUCCAAGGUCUGACGAAGGGAAGUCACUUGGCUGAUGGAUUAUUUCAAUGUAUAUUUACACUCCUUGCCUACAAGUUCAGGAGAGGCCCCUCUCUUAAUGAAAAAGACCUUUCUGCAUCCUCCAGGUUUAGCCAUUCACCCACAAUUCAUGCCUCGCUAAUGGGGACCACCUGCCUCUCCUGGCGUACAAAGCAUAGCUGUCGCGAGGCUAUUAUGCAUGUAUGCUAUCAAUUUUUCAGCCCAAACACAGAUGUCAGUUCUCACAGCCUGGUAAGUAUAAACCUCUUAGAUGAAAAGGAGUAAAAGUCCUGUCCCCCACAAGCCCAUCGGCCUCAGAAAGAGGGAUGCUUUCAUGACCAUUUCCUAGUCAGAAUGGGAUGCUUCAGAAGUCUACUGUCAUAAAAAGCCAGCAUUUCCAGAACAUGACAAUGUAAAGGAACUAGUUUUCCAAGUGCUUUCACUUAUUUUAUUGUGUCCUCCCAGCAGCCCCACGAAUUAGGCAGAACAGGAUUAUCACCUCCAUUUGAAGAUGGCACAACUAAAGCUCAGUGUUUUGUUAAGUGCCCAAGGUCACCCAGCUAGUAAGUCAUAACGGUUGACAGAACUUGGACUGGCUUCGGCCAAUGCUUUCCCCUUUUCCUUUGAGCCAGCCUCAACUUCUGUCCACUGCAAUUAAACGCAGCCUAAAGGGAUUGAAGUGGGUUGGCCUUAUGGCCCCCAAGGCUUCCAUAACUUCUGCAGCUCAUGGCAGAAUUUUUCACAUGUAAUUUUUAUGUGCCUAGACACACGACAAACCUCAGAAAAGAAACUGGCCCUAUCUGCAUAAUUUCUGGGGAAAAUGCUCUGCUCCAGUUACAGCAAGACAGGGAGUUCUUGUUCUAGGGGUGGCGCCAUCAAUCUCUGGAUGCUUAGAGAUGCAUCCUUAUCCUUAUCGGCAAAGCUGCUGCAAUUAGUAGACAGGACUGCACGGUUGUGAGGUCAAUUUUAAAAACUGAGAUAUAAUUUACAUACAAUAAAAUGCAGAGGGCUUAAGGGUACAUAUGUUUGUAUAUAUAAAUAUACAUCAUAUAAAUAUACACAUGCAUCUCCCUGUAACCAGCACUCAAAACGAGACACUGAACAUUUUCAUCACCCUAGAAAAUUACUUCAUACUUCCUCUUCCCGUCAAUCCUUCCAGUCCUUUAAAGGGGAAUUUCUGACUUAUCAUCAUCCAUGAGUUUUGCCUGGUUUUGUACUUCAUAUAAAUGGAACUAUACGAUAUGACUUUUUAGAUCAUUUGUUUAGUUUGGCUUCUUCUUAUUUUUAAAAUAAGCAGGCACAGAAGGUACAACAGAAAGAACACUGGGCUGGGAUAAUUGUCCCUGCUGAAACAAGUGACUGGAUUUAGAACCAAAGGCCUCAGGACCCAAUCCUAGGUCUUUCACAAUGUAUACAUGGCCCUUUAACCAAAUCUCAGUUUUCUUCUAUUGAAAGAUGUGAGUGUAGAACUAAAGCAUGUCUCAGGUGCCUUCUAAGUCUAAAAGUCCAUGAUUCUUAAGUGGAAUUUAAAAAAUCCAAGUGAGGAUGCCCAUUUUAAAGUCCUUACCAAAUGAAGUUACACCCUUCCUUAAUUUCGAUGGUGCUGCUAAGAAACAAACCCCAUGAUUUUUAACUCCUUUCUGAACGCCGUCUUUGGAGAUUAAGCUAAAGCUCAUUAGGUUAUAGCUAUUAUUUUCUCUUGACCCCAUAUGACAUAUCCUAGAUUGACUCUCUCUUUAUUAAAGUUAGCCCUGAAUGAUUCUCGGCUGUUCAAAAAUUCGUAUACAUUUUAAAGCAUGGAGAUUUGCAACCACCAAACUAUUUGAAAGAUAUUAAUAAGCCCCCAUUCUCAGUGACUCUGUCCUUCCCACAAAGCCCAGGCAGCCUCUCUGAACUGAAUGACACUCUCCACAACCCUGCCAUAGCUGAUGGGACUAAAGUGAAUACCCAACUUUAGCUGAACUAUUCCAGUUCUUUCUCUUGAAUUUAAAAGACAGAGACUGGCUGGGCGUGGUGGCUCAUGUCUAUAAUCGCAGCACUUUGGGAGGCCAAGGUGGGUGGAUCGCCUGAGGUCAGGAGUUUGAGACCACCCUGGCCAACAUGGCAAAACCCCGUCUCUAGUAAAAAUACAAAAAGUAGCCAGGCAUGAUGGUGGGCGCCUGUAAUCCCAACUACUCGGGAGACUGAGGCAGGGAGGACAGCUUGAACCCAGGAGGCGGAGGUUUCAGUGAGCACAGAUUGCACCAUUACGCUCCAGCCUGGGCGACGGAAUGAGACUCCAUCAUAAAUAAAUACACACAUACAUACAUACAAACAAAUAAAAGACACAGACUAAGGGAACUGGGUGAUAAUGACCCUGGAGAAGUAAGAUCAUAGUAAGCUUCAGAGCGAAUACCAUGGCAAGCCAAAGAUCCGUACGAGCCAAAGAUAUGGAGAAUAAAAAACCAAGAGCCUUUCAGAGGAAGUGAUUCUGCAGGAGGAAUCCAUAAAUAUCUAAAUGAACUGAGGCCAGAAAUCAGAAAGAGAUGGAAAAGCCAUUACCUGCUAACUUUCCAGAUUAUGUGGCUAUUACUUCCUAUGCUCGGGGUACCUGAAAGUCCACUGUAUCCUGCCAAUAAAACUCCUAUAAAUUAAGCUAGUCUAUGUUUCUACUCAUUGCAACUAAUACGCCUAAGACCACAGCUGCCCCCAAGCUCUGCAGGAACUCUAAAACGGAGGUCUGAGCAGACAGCAGCAUCACUAGCAUAUG
rnacentral:lncRNA from 1 species